rnacentral:tRNA from 1 species
GGGGAUAUGGCGGAAUGGUAGACGCUACGGACUUAAAAUCCGUUCAGCGCAAGCUGGUGAGGGUUCAAGUCCCUCUAUCCCCA